UACGUAGGGUGCAAGCGUUGUCCGGAAUUAUUGGGCGUAAAGAGCUCGUAGGCGGUCUGUCGCGUCUGCUGUGAAAUCUCAGGGCUUAACCCUGAGCUUGCAGUGGGUACGGGCAGACUAGAGUGUGGUAGGGGAGACUGGAAUUCCUGGUGUAGCGGUGAAAUGCGCAGAUAUCAGGAGGAACACCGAUGGCGAAGGCAGGUCUCUGGGCCACUACUGACGCUGAGAAGCGAAAGCAUGGGGAGCGAACAGG
rnacentral:rRNA from 1 species